AUCUGAGGUCAUCAAGUUUUUUAAGGAUUUCUCAGCUCACUGAUGCAUAAUCACUCUGCUUUGAGUAGUUCUCUAUUGCUUUAUAAUUGAAAGUCCUUUGUACUUAAUACUCAUCUGUCCUUCCUAAAUCUAUCACUGUGCCAUCAAACUGUUCUUACUCUUUUCUUCUUUCCUGCACCCAUUAUGUGCACGUGCACUCUUCAUUGGCUACUAAUUAGGCCCAAUCAUCAUCAUGCACGUGCACUUUUCAUUGGCUAAUAAUUAGGCCCAAUCAUCAUCAUCUGCCCAACUGUUUGUCAUGUAAGAUCAACUCAGACCAACAUGAAACUUUGAAGCCACACCAGAAGCACAUCUCUGUUUUCAGCUAUCUAUGUAUCUUCCAACGGAUUGAAAUCAUAAUUUUUGUGGUAUCUCUGUCAACAAUAGGGGUAAUUAGAAAUUAACCAGAUCCUGUUUUGAUUAAUAUUUCAACUAAAAUUAAUUCAUAUUAGUUCACCUGAUUGUUUUGGACCCUUACCUUGGACAACUUUCUUUCACAUUUUAAUUUCUCACCCUCAUACAAUCAUCACAUCCACUAAUGGUAUACACUAUUUGCAAAUUGCGUAGAUAAUGAGAACUUAAAUAUCAAAAAUUACUUCAUUUAAGACAAGCAUAUAUCAAAAAUUACUUCAUUUAAGACAAGCAUAAGGCUUCAAGUUGGCCCUUCAUGCACUUUUAUACUUGGAUGUUCAAACUCGUCUAACUGACCACAAUUUUUUUCACACUUCUCAUGUUUGAUUAAUUAUCACUCUAAGCAUGCCUUUUCAUCUUUGUGCCUUUUCACACUUUUCAUAUUGUGCUGCUCUAUUAUAUGUUUUUCUUAGUAGAAUUUCGUAUUUUAUUGCAAAAAAAUUUAAAACAGGUAAUAGUGGUUGUUCUUGCUUUAUGAUAUUAAGUAGAUCAGUUGCUGCAUGGAUACUUCUCUCAUCAAGUUCUGUAUUGCUUUUUCUCAAGAUAUUUUAAUCCUGUAGAUGUUCUUACUAAGCAAAUUGAUCUGCACAAUUUUUAAUAACAAUUUAUGCACCUAUCCCAUGGUUAAUUCCUUGCAUGUGCCAUUUAAAUUGGAGCUGCUACUAUAACAUAGCCGACCAAUGUUAGAUAACUUCCAAGCUCCUUGCCUAGUGAUGUCAUUUAGAUAUUAUUUUGUUGUUUUAAUUUGUAACAGCUUCCAAGUAAUGAGUUUGAGCCUUUCAGGAAGUUAGGGUGACCUUUGUUAGCAAUUCAUCGUUCAUACUUAUUCCUAUUUGUGGUUGAUACAUGUAUGAGUUUGUAGUAAUUGAGGUCUGUAUCCUGGAUUGAUGGCCAUUUUACAUUUAAUCAGCAUGGAAUGAAAAUUUUUUACACCUUGUCCUUGAUCUUGAUGGCUGUGUCUGCAAAACAGGGAUUAACUGUAUGGAGAAACAAGCCUCACUCUGUACAAAAUACAAGCCUAAUGACCCUAACUGCAUACGGAGAUUAAAUGUAAAGUAUAUAAUCAAACAAAGGACUGAGUGUUCAGUUUCCCUAUUAACUAAGUCUUUUUUCUUUGCGCCUGACAUUUUACUCAUUUUAUUUCUUAACACCAUUUUUCCCUAUGACAAA
rnacentral:lncRNA from 1 species